UACGGAGGGGGCUAGCGUUGCUCGGAAUCACUGGGCGUAAAGGGUGCGUAGGCGGGUCUUUAAGUCAGGGGUGAAAUCCUGGAGCUCAACUCCAGAACUGCCUUUGAUACUGAAGAUCUUGAGUUCGGGAGAGGUGAGUGGAACUGCGAGUGUAGAGGUGAAAUUCGUAGAUAUUCGCAAGAACACCAGUGGCGAAGGCGGCUCACUGGCCCGAUACUGACGCUGAGGCACGAAAGCGCGGGGAGCAAACAGG
rnacentral:rRNA from 1 species